GUGAAUCAUCAAAUUUUUGAACGCAAAUUGCGCCUUUUUCGGAAGGCAUGUCCGUUUGAGGGCACCAUUUAACAAAUAAUGUGCAGCGUUUUUUGUUGCACACGUUGAUGAGCUUUCCAAGAAUUUUAUAUUUUUGGUGGCGCAUAAUGAACAGAGUGAGAGUUUUUUUUAGUUCUCGUGUAGUAAAAUCUUUGCUUCGAUUGUGAAAAACCAUAAUCUCUCAAUGGUGGCGGCAGUUUCUUUUUGUACCUGCCCCAA
rnacentral:misc_RNA from 1 species